UAAGGUGUUCAUUUUUUCGGGUUUAUCCUGGUUAAGUGGAGUAGAGUCUGGGCCAUUGGCUCUCAGGGAUUUCUUCAUGACUGUUGCCUCUUAUCGGUGGAAAAAAAAGCACUGUGACUGUUGAAAAAAAAAGCACUGUUAUUGUUGAAAAAAAAACACUGUUAUCAUUGAAAAAAGCAUUGUUACUGUUAAUGAAUUGAAACGUUAGCAACGGCUGUGAGGGAAUGUCUUAAAAAACCACUGUUACCGUUGAUGUUUUCAACUUCACCUCUUAUAAAAGAAGAUAAACUGGCUCUUGGGUUCAUCCAGGGAUUUGAGGAAUUAAUGAUUUGAUGUGCUCAUUGUAUGGUUUUCAAAUGUAUGUCAGGGAUUGAGGAAUUAUACGGUUUUCAACUUGUGUUCAUUUUCUGGGUUAACAUAUUUCGCAAGCAUUCUACUGAAAGUGCAUUAUGGGAGGACAAUACAAAUCAUCUUCUGCUUGGCCUUCGACUUACCAUUGACUCAUGGGAUGACCAGGUAUGCAUGCCUUCGACUUACCAUUGACUCAUGGGAUGACCAGAUCUACUUGCAACAUUGAAAACAAUGCUGAUAAUGUCUAGAUCUAGUUCAGGCAUUUGAUGUGCGAGAGGCAAUAGGCAUAGAUAUCUUUGCCAGGUUUGUAGAGUGAUUACUAUAGGCAUAGAUAUCUUUGCCAGGUUUGUACAGUGAUGCUAGAUUAUCUCAAUAGUUGUUGCAGUCAAUGCAAAAUUAAUUAAAAUUUUAUAGUUGCACUUUUGAAUCAAAUCAAUCAAUUGAUAUGUAAAGGAUUUGUUGUAUAUAUACAUUUAUUUGAGAGGGGUUGAAUUUUCCCCCUCUUUUAGGUUGGAGGGAAUGAUCAUUGAUCAUGGUCAUUCUUUUCAGUCUAAUGUCUUUGUGUUGAUUUUUAUAUUUUUAUAUUGUAUAAAAUUCAAAUCUAUUUUUUAUUUAUUUUAUGUUUACUUCA